GGAGGGGGCGAGCGUUAUUCGGAAUUAUUGGGCGUAAAGGGCAGGCAGGCGGUCUUGUGUGUCCUCUGUGAAAGCCCUCGGGCUCAACCGAGGAAUUGCAGGGGAAACUGCGAGACUUGAGUCCGGGAGAGGCUAGUGGAAUUCCCAGUGUAGCGGUGAAAUGCGUAGAUAUUGGGAGGAACACCAGUGGCGAAGGCGGCUAGCUGGACCGGUACUGACGCUGAACUGCGAAAGCCAGGGGAGCGAACGGGAUUAGAUACCCCGGUAGUCCUGGCUGUAAACGAUGAGCACUUGGUGUGGCGGGUAUCGACCCCUGCCGUGCCGAAGCUAACGCAUUAAGUGCUCCGCCUGGGGAGUACGGUCGCAAGGCUG
rnacentral:rRNA from 1 species